rnacentral:tRNA from 1 species
GCGAGAGUGGCGGAAUUGGCAGACGCACUGGUUUUAGGAACCAGCGGGCAACCGUGGGAGUUCGAGUCUCCCCUCUCGCA